AGAAUAUAAAUAAAUGUAUAGAUUUGAAAAGUGUUAUAGGGCAUUAAAGGGUUAUUCAAGGAAUAUAAACUUUUGUAAAAAAAAACAGAAGAAACUAUUAAUUAAUAAAGUUACUAAUUAUUAUAUAAUAAAAUAUAUAAUAUAAAACUUAAGGGAAACCGUAAAAAUAAACGUGAAGAACUGAAUCAUCUAAGUAUUCAUAGGAAAAGAAAUCAAAAGAGAUAUUAUAAGUAAUGGCGAAUGAAAGUAAUAAAGUCAAAAAAAUAAGUAUUAUCAAAUAACUAAAUGGUAAGAAAAAAGAUAUAACUAAAUCUAAGACUAAAUAUAAUUAAUAAGUAAAAAAAGUACUGAAAAGGAAAAUAUGAAAAUGGAUAAUUUAUAAGCAGUAUGAGAUAUAUAAAAAUAUUUAAUACGUACCUUUUGUAUAAUGGGCCAGCAAGUAAUUAAUAAUAGCAAAAUUAAUAUAUAAUUAAUUAUAUAUAAAUAGAAUAUAUAAUGAAUACAUAAUAAUGUAUUAGAAUAAUGUGAAUAAAGUUAUUAUUAAUUGGCCCGAAAAUAAAAGAUCUUAUUAUGACAAGAUAUCCAUUUUUUAUUAAAAAUAAAAAAUAUUGAUCGAAUGAGUUAAUGUUGCAAUAUUAUUCAAUUAGUUGUGAUAAGUAAGUGAAAGACUAACCUGUUUUAUAAAUAGCUGGUUCUCUGUGAAAUAUAUGUUAGUAUAGUGGUUAAUAAAAAUUAUUAUAUGGUAUAGCAAUUAAUAUAAUAUUAUGAGGGUCAGAUAUGAUUUAUCAUGUAUAUUUAAUCUCACAAUAAUAUAAUAAUAAAUAAAAAUUAAAAAUUAACUAAUCAGACUGUAUGCGAUAAGGUAUAUAGUCAAAAGGGAAACAGCCCUAAAUAAGAUUUAAAGUUCCAAAUAAUUAAUUAAGUGAAUAAAAUGUAUAUAAUAUCCUAAUCAAUUAGUAGGUGGGUUUGACAAUAACUAUCCUUUAAUGAACAUGUAACAAUGCACUAAUAAAUAAAUAAUAUUGAUAUUAUAUACAGAUAAUACACGGAUCUAAAAAUUAAUAACUGAUAAUCUAUAUAUUAAUAUUAAUUAAUAAUAUUAAUAUGGUAACAGAGCAUAUAAUAAAUAAAGUAUAAUAGUUAGAUAAAUUAUUAUAUAGAAUAUAAUUAUAUUGAGAAUGCUGGCAUGAGUAGCGAAAAAUAAGUAAUAUGUUUAACAUAUAAUAAACUUAUUCACAUAAUACAUAAGGUUUUACUAUAAAUUCGGUCCUUAAAUUAGUAUAUAAAUAUAAUAUAUAUGAUAGGUUAUAAACAUAAUUAAAUAUUAUAAUUAUUUAUAUUUAAAUAAUAAUUAUAAUGAACAUUAAUCAUAAAUUAAUUAAUUUAUGGUAUUAUUAAUAGAACAAGAAAUAUCUAAUUAUGAAAACCGUAAUUAAGACCGACACAGGUGUGUAUAGUAGAGAAUAUGAAAGUGAAUGAAUAAACUACGGUUAAGGAACUCGGCAAAAAUCACCCCCACGUUAGUCAAUAAAGGGAGUGUAAUAUAAAAAAAUAUUACACAUUAAGAAUAAAAUUAUACAACUGUUUACUAAAAACACAGCACUUUGCAGAUAUAAAAAUAUUAGUAUAAGGUGUGAAUCCUGCUCAAUGAUUUAAUAAAUAAAAUAUAUUUUUGUAAAAGGAAAUGUAUCUAAAGAUUAGUCAAAUAGCAGCCUUAUUUUGAGGGUUAUAAUGUAGCGAAAUUCCUUGUCUACUAAUUAUAGUCCUGCAUGAAUGGAGUAAUGAUAUAAUAACUGUCUCGACCGUAGGUUCAGCGAAAUUGUAUUAGCAGUGAAGAUACUGCUACACUUCAGUAAGACGGAAAGACCCUAUGCAGCUUUACUAUAUAUAAAUAAACUGUUAUAUAUUUAUAAUUAUUCAGCUUAUAAAGUAAUAAAUAAUAUAAAAUUGAGAAACUUUUUGAUGAUAAAUAUAUAACUUAUCUUUAAUUAAUAUAAUGUUAUUAUAACUAUAUUAUAUAUUAUUAUUAUUUUUAAUUAAUAAUAAUAAUAAAAGAGAAAGUUUUUAUUAGAUAGUUUUGAUGGGGCGUCAUUCUCAUAUAAAUAAACUGAGUAAGUCCUUUAUAUAAUAUAAAACAAUUAAUAUAUAUAUUAUAUAUAUUAAAUAUAUAUAUACAAAUUAAAUUAAUUUAAUUUGAAUAAAUAAUAGAUAAAAUAAGGUAUAGUUAAAUUGUAAGGAAAACAAUAAUAAAAAAUUUUAUAUAAAAAUAUAAUAGUAUAACUAUGCAUAAAUUACAAUCAUAAACAAAUGAAGUAAAUACGUAAGUAUGGUAUAAUGAACAUUUACUAUAAAUAGUGUUAGGUAAAGAUAACGGAUAAAAGUUACGCUAGGGAUAACAGGGUAAUAUAACGAAAUAGUACAUAUAGUAAGUUAUGUUUGCCACCUCGAUGUCGACUCACCUUUUCCUAUUGGUUGUAGCAGCUAAUAAGGGUUUGACUGUUCGUCAAUUAAAAAGGUACGCGAGUUGGGUUAAAUACGUCGUGAGACAGUAUGGUUCCUAUCUUCUGAAGUUAAUAUUAUAAAAAUAAGCCUAUAAAUUAGUACGAAAGGAUCAUUUAUAAUUAAUCAAUGGUAAACUAUUAAAUAAUUUAAAAUAUUUUAUUUUUAAAAUUAAUUAAUUAUUAAUACAUUAUUUUAUUAUUCAUUGAAUAAUAUUUUUAUUUAAAUUAUUUAAGUAGUAAAGCUAAAUUAAUAAAUUAUAAGUAUUGAAAGCAUAUAAAAUACGAAUUUGUCUUAUGGAUAUAAUAAAUAAAUAACCUUUUUAUAGGACCCGCCGCCUUUGGCGGCGGGUCUACGGAAGAGGUUAUAUAAUAGUAAUUAUAUACUAUGAUUAUAAAAUAGCUUUAUACACAUUAAUGUGUAUAAAUAAUAAAACAUAUUUUUAUAUGUUUAACUAUUUAACUAUUUUGCACUAUAAUUUCUAAUCU
rnacentral:rRNA from 1 species